ensembl:lncRNA
UUGGAGAGAUCCCAAUGGGGAGGGAUCCCAAUGUGGGUCCCAACAUGGGUCCCAACAUGGAGAGAUCCCAAUGGGGAGAGAUCCCAAUGGGGAGGGAUCCCAAUGUGGAUCCCAAUGUGGAGAGAUCCCAAUGGGGAGGGAUCCCAAUGUGGAUCCCAAUGGGGAGGGAUCCCAAUUGGGAGAGAUCCCAAUGGGGAGGGAUCCCAAUGUGGAUCCCAAUGGGGAGAGAUCCCAAUGGGGAGGGAUCCCAAUGUGGGUCCCAAUGUGGAUCCCAAUGGGGAGGGAUCCCAAUGUGGAGAGAUCCCAAUGGGGAGAAAUCCCAACGUGGGUCCCAAUGUGAAGAGAUCCCAAUGGGGAGGGAUCCUAAUGUGGGUCCCAAUGUGGAGAGAUCCCAAUGUGGAGAGAUCCCAAUGGCGAGAGGAUUCCCAAUGUGGUUCAAUGGGAGAGAUCCCCAAUGGGAGUAUCUAGAUGUGGGUCGCAAUAGGGACUCCGGGGCAUUUCCCAGCAUGGAUCCCAUAUAGAUCCCAAUACGGAUCCCAAUAUGGAUCCCGGGGCAUUUCUUAGCAUGGAUCCCAUACUGAUCCCAAUACAGAUCCCGGGGCAUUUCCCAGCAUGGAUCCCAUACAGAUCCCAAUACAGAUCCCGGGGGCAUUUCCCGGCAUGGAUCCCAUACAGAUCCCAAUACGGAUCCCAAUAUGGAUCCUGGGGCAUUUCUUAGCAUGGAUCCCAAUACGGAUCCCAAUAGAUGAAUCUCAAAGCGCUGCCCAACGCUGAUGUGGAACCCAACAUUGAUCCCAACACAGAUCCCGAUGUGUGGCCCUAUGGAGAAUGGAGUGUGGAUCCCAACGUGGAUCCCAAUGCGUGGCUCAAUGAAGAACCCAACCUGGAACCCCAUGGAGAUCCCAAUUGGUGGCCCAUCCUGGAACCCGAUGUGGAACCCGAUGUGGAUCCCAAAUCACGGCCCAACCCGGAACCCGAUGUGGAUCCCAACACCGAUCCCAAUUCAUGGCCCAACAUGGAACCCAAUGGAGAUCCCAAAUCAUGGCCUAUCCCAGAACCCAACCUGGAACCCAACGUGGAUCCCAAUUCAAGGUCCAUCAUGGAACCCAUCCCAGAACCCAACCUGGACCCCAACCUGGACCCCAACUCACGACCCAACCCGGACCCCAACCUGGACCCAACUCACGACCCAACCCGGACCCCAACCUGGACCCCAAUUCAUGGUCCAUCCCGGACCCCAAUGUGGAACCCAUCCUGGACCCCAACUUGGACCCCAAUUCAUGGCGCAUCCCAGAACCCAACCUGGACCCCAACUCACGACCCAACCUGGACCCCAACCUGAACCCCAACUCACGACCCAAUCUGGAUCCCAAUUCAUGGGCCAUCCCGGACCCCAUCCUGGACCCCAACCGGGAACCCAUCCCAGACCCCAUCCUGGACCCCAACCUGGAAGACAUCCCGGACCCCAUCGUGGACCCCAUCUGGGACCCCAUCCUGGACCCCAACCUGGAAGACAUCCCGACCCC